AUGAGCAGACCUGAUGGAUGCGUACAAAUUGCAGAAGAACACAUACUUGACUCAGUUGUACGAAGUCGGAAGAAGUGGGAAGAGCCUUCAAAGACGACCCCGGUAAUGAAGAUGAAUACCCCACUGGAGCUGCAUGCAAGCAAUGUUCUGUAUGAGGCAGGCCAAUACAAGGUUGAUGAGGUCGAGAAAGGUGUGAAGUAUUUGGCUCGGAGAUACCACCGAAAGAAGCACGAAAAGUGGGGCAGAGUGAAAGAUAAGCUAUCUAACAACUCCGUAACAUCCAAACUUGUAACAUACACCCUGGAGGUUGUGCAGCUCGGCGAUGCAAAAACAACAACACAUGAACUAGUAAUCAGUUUGCUGAAAUUGGCAAUGCAGAAACUGAUCCCAUUAGCUGAUGUCCGAGAUGGGCUUGGAUUGGAGGGUCCGCCUUCAAGCAAGCCAGGCAGCAAGGAAAGGAAAGAGCAAUGGACAAGAACUGUCCGGCCAGACCCCUUGCUGGGCGGUACCAGCAAGCGCACCCAAUUUUGCAUAUCUUCCGGCAACUAG
rnacentral:rRNA from 1 species